rnacentral:misc_RNA from 1 species
ACGCCGUAUUUUUGCAAGCUAGGAGGGUCCGGCUUAUUGCCCUUUCCCAUUGCCUUGCCGAAGAGACUGGAAUUUGGAUUCUCACGAAGGUCGACUGCAAAUCACUUCACCGUUCUUACGCGUCCAUAUUUAGCCCUCCAGAAUACAACUAGCAUUUCUACGGUUUUCCCAGCGGAAAUUAUAUAUGUAUAUAUACACACACGCG